rnacentral:rRNA from 1 species
GCAUAUCAAUAAGCGGAGGAAAAGAAACCAACAGGGAUUGCCCUAGUAACGGCGAGUGAAGCGGCAACAGCUCAAAUUUGAAAUCUGGCUUCGGCCCGAGUUGUAAUUUGCAGAGGAUGUUUAUGGUGCGGUACUUUCCGAGUUCCCUGGAACGGGACGCCACAGAGGGUGAGAGCCCCGUCUGGAUGGAUACCAAACCUGUGUUAAACUCCUUCAACGAGUCGAGUAGUUUGGGAAUGCUGCUCUAAAUGGGAGGUAAAUCUCUUCUAAAGCUAAAUAUAGGCCAGAGACCGAUAGCGCACAAGUAGAGUGAUCGAAAGAUGAAAAGCACCUUGAAAAGGGGGUUAAACAGUACGUGAAAUUGUUGAAAGGGAAGCGUUUAUGACCAGACUUGUGUCGUGUGGCUCAUCCGAGGUUCUCCCCGGUGCACUCCACACGGCUCAGGCCAACAUCGGUUUUUGUCGAAGGAUAAGAAUAGUAGGAACGUAGCUCUUCCUCGGAAGAGUGUUAUAGCCUAUUAUACGAUACUUUGAUAGAGACCGAGGACCGCGCUUCGGCUAGGAUGUUGGCGUAAUGGUCAUUAGCGACCCGUCUUGAAACACGGACCAAGGAGUCGUCCAUUAGAGCGAGCGUUUGGGUGUAAAACCCGCACGCGUAAUGAAAGUGAAAUUAGGUGAGAGCUUCGGCGCAUCAUCGACCGAUCCUGAAGUUUACGGAUGGAUUUGAGUAAGAGUUUUAACGGACGGACCCGAAAGACAGUGAACUAUGCUUGAAUAGGGUGAAGCCAGAGGAAACUCUGGUGGAGGCUCGCAGCGGUUCUGACGUGCAAAUCGAUCGUCAAAUUUGAGCAUGGGGGCGAAAGACUAAUCGAACUGUCUAGUAGCUGGUUACCGCCGA